CUCUUAUCGAGAGCGGUGGAGGGACGUGCCCGACGAAGCCCGGCAACCGUCACGGAAACGUGAAAUGGUGCCAAAUCACUCAAAGCGCAUGCUUUGGCAGAUGAGAG
rnacentral:ncRNA from 2 species